rnacentral:rRNA from 1 species
UACGGAGGAUCCAAGCGUUAUCCGGAUUUAUUGGGUUUAAAGGGUGCGUAGGCGGCCUAUUAAGUCAGGGGUGAAAAGACGGUAGCUUAACUCGAUCGCAGUGCCCUUGAUACUGAUGGGCUUGAAUGUACUAGAGGUAGGCGGAAUGUGACAAGUAGCGGUGAAAAUGCAUAGAUAUGUCACAGAACACCAAUUGCGAAGGCAGCUUACUAUGGUAUGAUUGACGCUGAGGCACGAAAGCGUGGGGAUCAAACAGG